GACAGACAGAAUAACAUAACAUAACAUAACAUAACAUAGCAUCGAUAGAUAGUGAGGGAUAGCAUAGCAUAACAUAACAUAGAUAGCUGAUAGAUAGAUAGAGAGAGAGUAGAUAUCUAAGUAGAUAAAAUGGUUUACUACUGUAUUUGUGGCGGGUGCAACAACUCCAGCAAAAGUGGACAUAGGGUCCAUUGCUUCCCCAAGGACAAAGGGAUCCUCCGAAGCUGAGUGCAAUUUGUCAAGGUUAGGCGGGCAGAUUUUUCAGCUAGCUCUGUUACCGCGUACUCAAGAAUAUGCAGCGCGCAUUUCAAGGAGGAGGAUUACCACUCAGGGGAUGCCAAGAUGGUCUCACUUGAUUUAAAGAGUAAGAGGACGGCAAAGUUAAUUCCUCCCGCCGUGCCGUCUGUGCAUGCAAACCACUCUUCCUGCCAUGUCCCGAGGUCGAGAGACACCGUCUGCCGCAAGCGAGAGAUUGCCACGAUGUUGACAGUCCCUCACAGCAGGAGACCGUGGACAGUGUAGACACUGUGGAGAGUGUCGACACUGGGGAUCAGCCCUUGCCCUCCUCCACUUCUGACGCUGGGACACAAUGUUAUUUGAAGCCCCCCGAUGGUCUCACGCUGUGCAGGUUAACCUGAAGUCCAAGAUGGUUAGCGUGGGCACACAGACUUCAUUCAGCCCACAAACCUCCACUCCUCUCGCUAGUCCUGAACAGACAGUUGACGAUGAUGAUGAUAAUGCCACUGUCAUCAGUGACUUGUCGUGGGUGCCCGAAGAGCCGAUGGAUGAGGAGGAAUUGUUUGAUGAGGAGACACCUUACACGUGUGACCCCCACCACAAUUGCAUUGACAAAUUCAAUGUUUGCCAAGAGGAGCUGAUGGGCCUUUUUGCCAUCUGUCCGGCCUGUUGUGAGAGGUCGGAUAGUAGCAUUGUGCAGCAGGAAGGAACUUUUGUUAAGAUCAAGCAGGUCUGUGCAUCAUGUGGCUACCACCGUUUCUGGCAAAACCAGCCAAUGCUCCACAGGAACAUGCCAACCUGCAACCUCCACACAGACACUAAGAAUGUUGACCCUGUUUGGCCUGCAGUGCAUCAGUGCGAGCAGUUUCUUUCGCCAUCAGCGCCGCUACACCAUCCCUGUAAUCGUUCAAGCCUGGCAGAAUGAUCAAGCCAAGAAUUUUAGUGACCUACGGGCAAUGGAUGGUGUAAAGUAAUGCGAUAGAUACUUGUUCGGAUGCUCAACUCAGGUUUAUUAACUGCCGUGUGUCUCGCUCACAUCUCUAAGGCUAACCUCCCGUAUAACCCCUAGUAUAUGCGCAAGCACAUUAACUACCGUAUAUGACAUCUCCCCCUUUUUAAAGUGUUAUGUCAAUAACAUCACAGGAACAGUUUAACUGAAAAUGCCUAUUCAAACAGGUCAUAGCAUAAACCAAGAUUAACUUAAAUUAACUUAAAUGGAGACAUUUCAACAUACACAGGUCUCUUUCCCCUCAACCAACAGAUAAACCUAAUCAACAGAUAAACAUGUACAACUGUACAACUUUCUUUUUUUUUUCACAAAUCAACAGUAUCACAUUAAUGUCAAUACAACUUUUCUUCUCUUUUUUUUCAAAAGGGCAUAUGAUCUGCACUUAUUUACAGGUCAAGCCUGUCGAUUUGCUUGCACACCCGUCCCGAUCUGGUCACAGUCUGACUGGGCAGAGGGGUUGUGGGUGUAGCCACACUCUGACUCACAGGAACGGUCUCUGACAUGGUGGCACCGUCAGAGUGUGUGUCUGUCCCUGUGACGUCCCUGUGCGCUGCUGGGAUGGGCUGGGGAACUGGCCCUGGUUGGAGAUGACGGCGGUUCCGCCGCAGCUCCGCUCCAUGCUGCGUCCUGAUGACGAAGGAUCUCGGGGUGGUGCUCUCGCUUGAGAUCACCGCUGGCAAAGACCAUGACUUUUCAUGGUCCAACUUGGAGAAUACAACAUCUCCUGGUUGCAGGGCAGAGCUCAGAGGUCCCCAACAGCUCAUCGUGUGAGCUUGAAGGGCUCAAGCGCAGUGUUGGCCUGCUGAGGGGAAACGACCUGCAUUUGGCAACGCUGAUCACGGACCGACAUCGCCAGGUUGCCAAAUGGGUGAGAGAGGAGCUGAUCCCUGAAGGGACACAGCAUUAUUUUGACAUGUGGCACAUUGCCAAAAGUCUGGGGAAGGCAUUGGAUGCAGCAUCCAAAGAGUGUGACCAACUACAGUUGUGGAGGCCAGCUAUAGUGAAUCACCUCUAUUGGACUCCUCAUCUUGCACUUCGCGCCCAAGCACACAGGGUUUUCAUACCUUGGGAUGUAUAGCAGGCUCCUCUUAGCGGCGCUGCAUUAUAAUCAUAAUGCCAAUCGCGAGACAGCACGGAGAAGUGACGGGACGGAGAAGUACUGCGUGCGGUAUCCGCUCUUCAGAAAAGGUGCCCAUGUGGUGCGUCCAGGGCUGUAGUGGUCAAAUUAGAGAAUACAGGGAACUUUGAGGUGCCUAAACGCUAUUUAGAGGUGCGUAAACGCUAUUUCCUAAAUUCCAGAGGUGCGUAAACGGCGUUUACGUGCGUUUACCCUCCACUACAGCCCUGGGUGCGUCCCAUCAAAGAGGCAGCCUCAUACGGUUAUGCAACAUCAUUAAUGAAGGCCCUUCGGGAGAGCUACGCCAAUUCACCCGCGGUUCUUCGAGAGGUUAUCGCAAAUUUGUCCUCCGAUGCACCCGCCCCCAUCGCCAAAUCCUUCGAACAGAUUCCUAUGGUGGAGGCCGUCAGCCUCUACCUAGCCCGGCAGUCACGCUUCAAGAAAACCUAAUUUCACAUUAUUAUUUUUUUCCAAUGAUUUAGUUGUUAUUAUUUGCAUGAAAUUUCUUUGUAUGUAAUUCAAAAUAAUUUGGCAAUCAUUUUACCUGUGCCUAGUCAACCUCUGUGUGCGGUGUUGUCUGGGCUCACUGUGUGUCUGCUUGAUGUGAUUUUGCAUGUAUCACUGCAUGUAUGCAUGCAUGAAAUAGUGUGUGUGUGUGUGUGUGUGUGUGUGUGUGUGUGUGUGUGUGUGUGUGUGUGUGUGUGUGUGUGUGUGUGUGUGUGUGUGUGUGUGUGUGUGUGUGUGUGAGAGAAAGAGAACCAUCAACUGACCCUCGGGUAUGACCACACUAUUGCAGAAUUAUUUAGAAUUAGAAUUAAACGUUGCGGGUCUAGCCCUUCAUCAGUGUUCCUUGUAUGUUUUGUGCCUAACCAUUUUUUUAUAUAGAUUUAAUUCCAACCUGUGUCUUUGUUCAGUAACCAUUACAAGCAAUGCCAAUAAACUGUUUUUUUUAUCCAAAAUUCAUGUGUUCUGUGUACUUUAUAACAUUUUAAGGGCAAUUGAAUGAUCACAACAGAAUAAGCAUAACAAUUAUUUUUAUUCAUUUUCAUCCAAACAAGGCCAUUGAAAGCCCUGAGGCCUGUUUCAGGUAGCUGGUUUAACAUACUCUGAGUUU